UUAGACAAGGAGCAACCAGAACCUCUUUGCCCCAUCUGCAACCCGGUUGUUGUCAGGGACCUUCCUUCUGGGUGCGAGGCUGCUUUCAGCAAGAACCAUGGCACAGCCUUGGUGCCUGAGAGUCGCAGCCUCCCCACUGCCUCACCUUGUCUUUUGAUUUUUCACUUUGACUCAUUGCUGCCAGUCAUCCCUGUCAUCAAUAAUAAGAGUGGCAAUGUGAACGCUCCAGGGCUGCACAGGAUGACUGUAGCCACACAAGGUUCCAGCAGCAGUGUGCAUCCCGUUGUGCAAAAAAAAGAGGAGAAAAGUCCUUCCAGUCUGCACCGGGUGAAUUUUACCUCAUGCACCGCUUCGGGAUCUGAUCCUGAUUCUUCAAAGCUAAAGCUGAGCUCCCUAGAAUGACUCUGGAGCUGAAACGUAUACCUAAGCACUUGGCUGAAUCAGUCCCUCUUGAAGUAUAAGGAAGAAGAUAUUCAGGCUUUCUAAUCCAGCAGCACAGCAGGGAAACUGCUUGUCUCUGCGUGAUUGUGUAAUUGCUUUUCAAAGAGAAGUGAGUUUCUCUAUCCACAUUGCACUAACAAAUCUCAGAAGUCACUUUGGUCUUCCAGCCUAACUUUCAACAUUAUUUGUUAUGGAUAAAACAAAAGACACUUCUAUUUCCAUAGCUGACAAGCUUUGCCUCAGGGCAUGCAUUUAUUUUCCAUGCUGUUGAUCUCUUCCUCCCUGUAUCAGGCUAAUUCAUCAGAUUAAUAAAGGACGAUUUAGCUUCCUGCAGGGUGUUAUUGAUCUCUCGGGGAACAUGGCAGUUGUUUGCUAUGCCACCUUUCCCCUGAGCAAAGGGGAUGAUUUUUAAAUAUUUCUAACACUUGAAGGUACAGGCAGCUCUCACCAAGCAGCUACAGAGGAGCAAAAGGCAGCAGCAAAGGGAAAAUGUAAAAUGUAUCACCUGAAUCCCUAUUUCCCUGCCUCUGUACUCAUCAGUGUGUCCAGAGCACACAAAGCCUCAGCAAGGAGGUGGGAGUGAGCACUUGGCUCCAACAAGAGGCUCCAGGAAGACAAGGCACAUCUGGAUUGAGCUGGCACGUAUUUCAUCCACCCACGCCGAGCAUUAUUUCAAACAUGCAGCACAGUUCACAGAUUAUCAGGUCAGAGACGCCCCCUGUACCAGCCCUGUCUCAGACCCUGCUAGGUUCUGUUUCAGAAAUGCUCAUGUGCCAUCCAACACAGAAACAAAAGUGUCUCCUUACCAGUGCUGAAAUUCCUCCCUCUAUCCCACCAUGAUCAUACCUUUACCUUCAAGGUACAGUGCUGGACAAGGAGCUUUAAUUCCCCAUAAUCUCUCAGUUGUUCUACAGCUCCCUGCAUGUCUGGGCAGCAGUCCCUGUCCUGCAAACACAGCCUGGUUCCUGACUUCCAGGACGCAGGGCUUGAUGCUUGACCUUAUUAAAAAAACAAACAAACACUAUUUGUGCUGAGCUAGAAAGCCCAAAUAUUCAGCCUCCAUGACUUACUACCUCAUUCUUCACCUUUCUUCUCAUUUUAUGUCAUCUGUGACUGUUUCAUUUUCUCCCCAAAACCACAGAUAGAACUGUUAAACUGCGACACAGCAACACCUGAACCCCACCAGAGCUAGGCAGACACAAGCUCCUUGCUCCCCUCUUUGCAGCUCUGUUGUGAGGCUUGUAAAUCCCUUGCCUUGAAAUACACUCAGUAUGUACUACAUUAAUUUUAUAUAAUUCUAAUUCCUUAAUCAACAGUUUUGAAGAAUCAAAUAUCUCUGUAAAUUACAACAACAUUAUUACCUUUAGCAAUCUAAUUUGCAAUCUCAUUAAAAAGAUAUGAAGUUCUUUUCUGUAACCCUACAGUGAAUGGAAUAACUUGGAAUAAGUCCCCGUCCUUCAUUAGUCAUACCUCCCAUGUGCUCUUUCAUGUAUGUCUAGGACUGCUGUUCAGCUGGGCUGUCCUCAGCUGGUUUCCAAGGUUGCUUUCCCUGCCACCCAUCUGUGAUGGCCCAAGCACUGCUGACAACCAUUACAAGCACUUCUGAGAGCUGUGGCCAGUAUCAGUGACCAGUGGUGGCCCGUGCUAUGCUGCUCACUCAGGGUCACUGUGGGACACUCCAUCCUGCAGUAUGGCCACAGCUGAAACUGGUUUUCCCCAAAUAUGACACACUUAUUGACCAUUUCUGCAAGGAUCAAGUGCCUUUUCUGCAUUAUCAGUGGUUUUUCUGCAUUAGCAAAAGAACUUUUUUGCAGGGCUCAGUUGGUACAUGACAAAAUAAAUGCCUUUUCUUCCUAAUAUAUUCUGGAAAUUAUUGAGUUCUUCUUGUAUAAUUUUCCUAAAUAAAAGGAAGCCCCAUUUGCUCAAAUAUAUAAAAGUUUUGGAACCAGAAUUAGGCAGGGAAAUAUUUGAAAAGAA
ensembl:lncRNA